CUGCUUUUCCCCUCUUGCUGCCAGAAGCAGGAGGAGAUUUUUCUCUGAGCUUCAAUUGAGAAACUGCUGGGGCUCGCUGAGUUUGAGGAAGAGGCAUCUGAACAGAUGCCUGAAGAACAUGAACAAACCGGUCAUAUGAAGAUGUAGGAUCAGAAUGUUCAGGAAAAAGAAAAAGCAAGUGAAAACUUUUACAGUCAGAAUGAGCUUGGCUUAUUUGGAGAAUAGGCGAUGAAAUAAACAGAGACUUGCAACAAAUAGGAGAGCAGCAAUUGAAGAACCGUGGUUACACUGCAAAGGAUAUCAAUGCUCACAGCAUCUCAGAGCGCUAGUCUACCCUGCCACCCUUAUGGAUAAUAUAUUUCUGGACUUUCAGGAAUCGAGUCAGUACCCAGAACUACAGGACUGUCAAAUGCUUCUGAAGAGUCUCCUUUACUUCAUCCUUCAGUUGCAAUACAUCAUUUUUGUUCUUUUGCUUCUGUUAUUUUAACAUAGUCUACAGAUAUUUUCAAGAGCAGUCUAAUCUAUUUUUUUAAUUGAACUUUAUAUUGACAAAAAAAGGUAUCUCAAAUUCAAAAACGAUGAUGUACAAUGGCUUCUGUCUUUGGUUUUAUAAUGCUUUCAUCAUCAUUAGAACAUUCAAAAUGUAACAUCGCUUGCAGUAUUUUAUUCAAUUUUUUUGUUUUUUUCCCCAAACAAAGUAUGAAAGUUAUAAUUCAAAAUAAGGCUUAUAUGGACAAUGAAUAAAAAAAUCAAGAUGU
rnacentral:lncRNA from 1 species